rnacentral:rRNA from 1 species
UACGGAGGGAGCUAGCGUUGUUCGGAAUUACUGGGCGUAAAGCGCACGUAGGCGGCUUUGUAAGUUAGAGGUGAAAGCCCGGGGCUCAACUCCGGAACUGCCUUUAAGACUGCAUCGCUUGAAUCCAGGAGAGGUGAGUGGAAUUCCGAGUGUAGAGGUGAAAUUCGUAGAUAUUCGCAAGAACACCAGUGGCGGAAGGCGGCUCACUGGCCCGAUAACUGACGGCUGAGGCACGGAAAGCGUGGGGAGCAAACAGG